CAGUGACAGCCCUGAUCUAUGGCCACCAUCUACUCAACAUCACUGCGCCCUUCCAUAAGCACCCAAGCUCUCUGAGAACAGCCAUCCUAGCCUCCGUUGUGGGAGAAAACUCUAGCCCUCCACUGCCAGCCAAGGAGGCUUCUCAUGCCAAGCUGGCCCUGAGCUCGGCCCAGGAUUUGUGCCCUUCGGGAUGUGGCGGCCGUGUGCACCCCAUCGGGGACCGUGUCGCCUCCCUUGGAAGGUAUUCCAGCACUGUCUGCCAUGAUGCCAACAGUAACACUUCUCAACACCAAGCCUUUAAAAGUCCAGCAGCUCCGUAGCCCGAGUCAGAGUGGCCCAACCUCCCCCGGACCUGACGCGGGGCUUCAGGAAGUGGCAGGGCAGGAGGGAGAAUGGGAAGCCUCAUGCCACACCGGGCACUGCUCCUGCAGUGCAGUGGGUAUCCCAUCACAACGCGGGCAGAUUCAGGGCCAACUGCAGGCCCCCGGAGAUGAGGCUAGACGGUGGCAGGCAGGCUAAGAACGGGCGAUCCAGCAGGCACAAGAAAGAACAUGCUGAUGAUAAAGAAACGCCAAGGAAUGCUUCCACUAGCAAAUGGGAAGAAUGCCCAGAAAACACCGCACGGCAUUUCUGGACCAGGACUCGUUCGUCAGAAUGUGCCCACCAAACACAGCAAGGGGCAACACUCACCCGAAGGCUGAAACAGGCGGAACUCCUGUGACUCCUGGUGCUGUGAGCAAUCAUAAAUCCUCAUCCUGGCACAGAACUCAGGAGGCGCCUCUGCCUGCACUCACCGUCCUCCGCCUGCCUGCACUCACCGUCCUCCGCCUGCCUGCACUCACCGUCCUCCGCCUGCCUGCACUCACCGUCCUCCGCCUGCCUGCACUCACCGUCCGCCGCCUGCACUCACCGUCCAGGGCCCUCCUCCGUCUCCGAGAGACGGACGAGGACACUGAGGGUCCAAGCUGUGAGCCACACCCCUCGCCAAGGCUGUGA
rnacentral:lncRNA from 1 species